UACAGAGGGUGCGAGCGUUGUUCGGAAUUAUUGGGCGUAAAGCGCUUGUAGGCGGCUUGUUAAGUUCCGUGUGAAAUCCCCAGGCUUAACCUGGGAAGUGCGCGGAAAACUGGCGAGCUUGAGUGCCGGAGAGGGUCGCGGAAUCCCGGUGUAGAGGUGAAAUUCGUAGAUAUCGGGAGGAACACCAGUGGCGAAGGCGG
rnacentral:rRNA from 1 species